CAGCCUUAUCAGCCCCAGGCAGGCACAGCCCUGCCCAGCCUGGGGCUAUCAGGGCCACAAACCCUGCGGGGCUGGCCCCACCAGGGUGACACUGGGUGGCACUGGGGACAAACUCUCUUUAUUGGCCCUUUUCUGCCCAAUUCCAGCUGCUCAGAGCCCAGCCAGGGCUUUGCUCUGCCCACAGAGACUCACUGGCCCCGCACAGCUCCCCCUUCUCAGCAAUUCCCCACCCAGAUGAUAAAUAUAUUAAAUAAACUGUACCUGUAAAAGGAAUUUCUCUGUUUCUUCUCCCUUUUGCUGCGUCCAGUGACAGAGCUCUGAGUGAGUCAAGAAUCCCAACCCCUGUGUUUGUCUUCAAGGAUGAGACUCUGACCCUGCAGCUGACCCACCUGUGGAGCUCUCCUUGGUUCAAAGCCCCUGGAGCACAGCACAGAGGCCAAACUGCUCAGUGUGCAAGUGGGAACUGCACACAAACCCUGUCAAAUUCUACUCUGUGGACCAAGGAAACAAUUCCAGUAAAUAUUAAAAUGCAUAAGAGGUUCCAUUUCAAA